UUUAAAGAAACAAAAAGGUGGGAGGGUGAGGAAGUAAAACUUCUUAGAUGUUCACCUCUUGAAAUCAUAUGUAGAUGAUUCAAGUGAUUCCUUUGGAAUAGGCAACAAUGCAAUAAGCAAAUAACAAGAUGGAUAAAGUAAAUGGAUACCGGAUGCCAAUCAAUGGACUUAUACCAAUCUCCCAAAACAAAAAUGGAUACCGGAAGCCAAUCAAU
rnacentral:lncRNA from 1 species